ACGAACGCUGGCGGCGUGCUUAACACAUGCAAGUCGAACGGGGAUAGCGUUGGAAGGCUCGGCCGGAAGGGGCUAUUCGAGUGGCGGACGGGUGAGUAACGCGUGAACAAUCUGUCCCAGACAGGGGGAUAACACUUGGAAACAGGUGCUAAUACCGCAUGAGACCACGGUAUCGCAUGGUAGAGGGGUAAAAGGAGAGAUCCGGUUUGGGGUGAGUUCGCGUCCGAUUAGCCAGUUGGCGGGGUAACGGCCCACCAAAGCGACGAUCGGUAGCCGAUCUGAGAGGAUGACCGGCCACAUUGGAACUGAGAGACGGUCCAAACUCCUACGGGAGGCAGCAGUGGGGAAUAUUGGGCAAUGGGCGAAAGCCCUGACCCAGCAACGCCGCGUGAGUGAAGAAGGCCUUCGGGUUGUAAAGCUCUGUUAUAGGGGACGAAGGAAGUGACGGUACCCUAUAAGGAAGCCCCGGCUAACUACGUGCCAGCAGCAGC
rnacentral:rRNA from 1 species